rnacentral:rRNA from 1 species
UACGUAGGGUGCAAGCGUUCAUCGGAAUUACUGGGCGUAAAGCGUGCGCAGGCGGUUUUGUAAGUCUGACGUGAAAUCCCCGGGCUCAACCUGGGAAUUGCGUUGGAGACUGCAAGGCUAGAAUCUGGCAGAGGGGGGUAGAAUUCCACGUGUAGCAGUGAAAUGCGUAGAGAUGUGGAGGAACACCGAUGGCGAAGGCAGCCCCCUGGGUCAAGAUUGACGCUCAUGCACGAAAGCGUGGGGAGCAAACAGG